rnacentral:rRNA from 1 species
GGCUGAAACCCGACCUCCAUGAAGUUGGAUUCGCUAGUAAUCGCGCAUCAGCCAUGGCGCGGUGAAUACGUUCCCGGGCCUUGUACACACCGCCCGUCAAGCCAUGGGAGCCGGGGGUGCCUGAAGUUCGUGACCGCAAGGAGCGACCUAGGGCAAAACUGGUGACUGGGGCUAAGUCGUAACAAGGUAGC